rnacentral:rRNA from 1 species
CCUACGGGAGGCUGCAGUGAGGAAUAUUGGUCAAUGGCCGUGAGGCUGAACCAGCCAAGUAGCGUGAAGGAAGAAGGAUCUAUGGUUUGUAAACUUCUUUUAUAGGGGAAUAAAGGUAUCCACGUGUGGAUUUUUGCAUGUACCCUAUGAAUAAGCAUCGGCUAACUCCGUGCCAGCAGCCGCGGUAAUACGGAGGAUGCGAGCGUUAUCCGGAUUUAUUGGGUUUAAAGGGUGCGUAGGUGGUUUGUUAAGUCAGCUGUGAAAGUUUGUGGCUCAACCGUAAAAUUGCCGUUGAAACUGGCAGACUUGAGUACGGUAGAGGUAGGCGGAAUGCGUGGUGUAGCGGUGAAAUGCUUAGAUAUCACGAAGAACUCCGAUUACGAAGGCAGCUUACUAGGCUACAACUGACACUGAAGCACGAAAGUGUGGGUAUCAAACAGGAUUAGAUACCCUGGUAGUC